CCUACGGGGUGCAGCAGUAGGGAAUAUUGCUCAAUGGGGGAAACCCUGAAGCAGCAACGCCGCGUGCAGGAUGACUGCCUUAUGAUUGUUAACUUCUUUUUAUAGAGAAGUUUAUUACUGUAUCUAUCGAAUAUUCACUGUAUCACACCGAUACAGCAGCCGCGGUAAUACGGAGGGUGCAAGCGUUAUACGGAAUUACUGGGCGUAAAGCGGGCGUAGUGGGGGUAAUAAGGCAGAUGUGAAAUCCUGUAGCUUAACUACAGAACUGCAGUUGAAACUGUUACUCUGGAGUUUAGGAGAGGUAGGUGGAAUUCGUGGUGUAGCGGUGAAAUGCGUAGAGAUCACGAGGAAUACUGAUUGCGAAGGCGACCUGCUGGAACAUUACUGACGCUGAUGCACGAAAGCGUGGGGAGCAAACAGGAUUAGAUACCCGAGUAGUC
rnacentral:rRNA from 1 species